AAGACCUACAAUGUUGCCGUAAUUACGCAGCUGCACUCGGUGCUGGUGACACAGGUACUGAACGUGACCUGAAAUCGCUAAUGAACAGAGAGCAUUUGUAAAAGCAGUCACAGGUCAAGGACUUGCAGAUAAAAUUUGUCGAGCUGGAUGUUGAUGAGAGGUGGAUGCCUGGUUCGUUAUGUCCCAGGCAGGCUCCAGACACUGCUGCUCUGUGUCCGCAGAGAGAGUUGCCGGGGAUUUCUUGCUCUACGGCUCCAGCAACCAUUUCCACAGAGCGCUGUGGAAACCAACGCACGUUUCUGACACAGGGAGCCCGGAAAGUUUUGCAAAUAUUUGCCGUUGAACUUAAAGCGCUGUUAACGCGCAGACAAAUCUCCCCCCAAAAUGCUCAUCCCCUUCGCUGGGGGGGCGCUGAUCCCAAAGCCCAUUGACAUCGACAGGAGUAUUGGGUGGCUGGGUUGGUUUUUCCCCCCCCUGACUUCAGUGGUGCGGAUUCGGGCAACAAAUUCGGUACAAUGGCUUUAGAAAGUAGCACGCGGAGAUGCAGGCUAACCCCGUGCUCCCUCCCCCGAGAUCGAUCCUGGAGCUGUGAGACCAGGAGAAGAGGAGCGGCCUCUGAUGCCCAGCCCAAGGCAGCACUGCUCACAGGCAAGGGGAAGAAUGGUGGCAGUUCUUCGGGACUGGCAUCUGCCAGGGGCCUUUUCCUCUCCAAACCACACAUCACAGUCCAUGUUUGCGUGGCGGGGGUAAAGGAAAGACUAAAAGGGGGCCCACUAACCCCCCCCCCCCCCGGCCCCAAAUGCUGCUGUGAUCUCCAUACCCCUUUGUACUCUAGUUACCUACUUCUCUGAACUUCAUCAGAGGCUAAAAUGCCCCACAUUAUUUAAGUAAAAUAAUCAGUAAUUCUGCAAAACAGGACCCCACUUUAUCUUACUCUUGAGAACCUUAGCAAUAGCGAACGGCCCGCUUAAGGUGGAAAUGUGUACUCCUACUUGGGAAGAUAUUUAACUUCAGCACGCAAAGAAAGCUUAAUCUUUAAGAGCUCUAGCGGGAAAGAGAAGUAUUUGAACGGCUCUGUUGUGAUCGCAGCAGUAAAUAUUGCAUCCUGGUCAUAAAACCUUCUUUGGGUGUCCACGGGCACUUAUAAAAACAAGAAUGGCAGGUGAUUUGCACUUACCUAGGUACUUGAUGUGUUUCUCUCUCCUCUUAACAACUAGGAAGGAGAAUAUGAUCACAUGCCCCAAAAUAACCAUUCAAGGACUAGCACCAUUCAGGGAAAGACAUUUCAGGGUAAGAAAAGGAAUCGCCCUCAAUGGGAUCGAACCCUUGGUGACGAAUCCGACCAGAGCACUAACCUAAUCUUAAAGGUUGUAUGAAAACCGGCUGUGUUUUGCUGCAAAGGCCGUUGGGCUAGUAGGAAUGCCAUGCCUUUCCUUGUGCUCUUUCAUUCAAGCAGCAAUAAAGUUGUUCGGCUCGAUCCUUUAUGAAAGUUAAAAUUGGUUUGCCCCCCCCCCCUUCUCACACCUUAUCUAGUUUCUACAUUCUUCCCACUUCAGUAGUCAAAGUGAUUGAAAAGCCGAAAACUGAGCAGAUCCAUCCCUCCAGCAACUUUCCUCACAUUUCUCAUUUACCAUUUUAUCAAACAGGCCCUUUGUCUGCGCACUCCCCUGAUGUUGCCUCUGUUACACGGAGAUAUUCUUCAGGUCAUGCGGGUUAAAAGGGGGCUAAAACGGAGAUCAUAUUGGACUUGCUUUACACAGACAUGUAGCAUUAGACCCCACGUCCAAUAGAGGAAAGAUAUACUACUCCUAUUUGAUGAGCAGCAGGCCAAUAAAUUCAUUAAUCAUCAUUUUAUGCCUCAUCAAACACUUCCCAAGUUCCUCCAUGGGAGUUAUACAAAUUAGCCACUGAAAAGGCAGUAAU